rnacentral:rRNA from 1 species
CACGUAGGGCGCAAGCGUUGUCCGGAAUUAUUGGGCGUAAAGAGCUCGUAGGCGGUCUGUUGCGUCCGCUGUGAAAACUCGGGGCUUAACCCCGAGCCUGCAGUGGAUACGGGCAGACUAGAGGUAGGUAGGGGAGAAUGGAAUUCCCGGUGUAGCGGUGAAAUGCGCAGAUAUCGGGAGGAACACCGGUGGCGAAGGCGGCUACCUGGACAGAAACUGACGCUGAGGCGCGAAAGCUAGGGGAGCAAACAGG